AACUUACCAGGUCAAGACAUGGGCGUGAUUGACAGGCUAAUGACUUUUCUCGAUUCCAUGGAUGGUGGUGCAUGGUCGCACUUAGUUGGUGCAGUGAUUUGUCAGGUUUAUUCCGGUAACGAACGAGACCUCGGCCUUGUAAAUAGCUAUGCUGCUUACAGGGACAUUGGCGGCUACGCCAAGGAAGCUCGAGGCAAUUGCAGAUCUGGAAUGCCCUUAGAUGUCCUGGGUCGCACGCGUGCUACAAUGACGCCACGAACGAGCUUGCGUGAUGAAAGUUACGCAUAAUCAGCAGUCGGCGUCUUAAGGGAUAGUCUCUUGUAACUGUGGGACUCCAACUAGGAAUGUCUCGUAAGCACAAGUCAACAUCUUGUGUUGAUUACGUCCCUGCUCUUUGUACACACCGCCCGUCGCUCCUACCGAUCGAGUGUUUAGGUGAAUUUGAUGGACGUAAGGAAGUCAAAUAAACCUGAGCACUAGAGAAGAGAAGUCUACAUGAC
rnacentral:rRNA from 1 species